GACGACGCUGGCGGCGUGGAUUAGGCAUGCAAGUCGGACGGUAGGGCUUUAUCGUAAGAUAGAGUUUGAGAGUGGCGAACGGGUGAGUAACACGUAGGAAUCUACCCUUAAGACGGGGACAACCCAGGGAAACUUGGGCUAAUACCGGAUGAGAGUGCGAGAGAUUGCAUUUAAAAGGAUGGCGAAAGUUGUCGCUUAGGGAUGAGCCUGCGGUCUAUUAGUUAGUUGGUGAGGUGAGAGCUCACCAAGGCGAUGAUAGAUAGGCGGCCUUAACGGGUGGUCGCCCACACUGGGAUUGAGAUACGGCCCAGACUCCUACGGGAGGCAGCAGUCGAGAAUAGUCUACAAUGGCCGGAAGGCUGAUAGUGCGACGCCGCGUGAACGAGGGAGCCCUUCGGGGUGUAAAGUUCUUUUCUAUACGAGCAGUGCUAUAUAUAUGGAUAGUAUAUAUAGAGGGAUAGUAGUAUAGGAAUAAGCAACGGCUAACUCCGUG
rnacentral:rRNA from 1 species